AUACGUAGGGUGCGAGCGUUAAUCGGAAUUACUGGGCGUAAAGGGUGCGCAGGCGGUUGUGCAAGACAGAUGUGAAAUCCCCGGGCUUAACCUGGGAAUGGCAUUUGUGACUGCAUGACUAGAGUGUGUCAGAGGGGGGUAGAAUUCCACGUGUAGCAGUGAAAUGCGUAGAUAUGUGGAGGAAUACCGAUGGCGAAGGCAGCCCCCUGGGAUAACACUGACGCUCAUGCACGAAAGCGUGGGGAGC
rnacentral:rRNA from 1 species